UACGUAGGGUGCGAGCGUUAAUCGGAAUACUGGGCGUAAAGCGUGCGCAGGCGGUGAUGUAAGACAGGUGUGAAAUCCCCGGGCUUAACCUGGGAACUGCAUUGUGACUGCAUCGCUGGAGUGCGGCAGAGGGGGAUGGAAUUCCGCGUGUAGCAGUGAAAUGCGUAGAUAUGCGGAGGAACACCGAUGGCGAAGGCAAUCCCCUGGGCCUGCACUGACGCUCAUGCACGAAAGCGUGGGAGCAACAGGAU
rnacentral:rRNA from 1 species